CCCGCCCCUCCCCCCGGCUUGGGCGGCCGCCAACCUGCAGCAGCACGGCGAGCAGCACGCACAGGAACACCUGGAGUGCCCAGAUGAGGGCUACAGUGUCUAGGAUGUUCUACAACCACAGUAAGAGACUGUGAAGAGUUGCUCUGAAGAGUUUACAACUUAAUCUAAGACAUGGAUCAACAAGAGGAAUGGAGGAAGGAUGACUAGAAAGUUAGUGACAUGAGUCACAUAGGCUGAGUAUAACUGAACAGAAAGAACAACUGAUAGAUGGUAAAAAUGGUAUAACUGCUGAGGUGGAUUAAGAUAUAUUCCUAUCACUUAAAGAUGACCCUCACCGCAAAAUUCAGAAGAAUCAAAGAAUCAAGCUGGAAGGGACCCCUGGGAGGUCACCUCUUCUACUCCCAGCUCAACCCAGAGCCAUACCUGUCUAAUCCUCCCAGACAUGAUUUUGAACAUCCACAAAGUCAAGUGUUCAGUUCUAGGGCAGGGGCUGUUGGAACAGUCCUAUACACAAAGAGGGGCAGCAUCUAGGGAAUUUGGUUCCUGGUUCUGGGUUCGGAGGUCAGACCCUUCCCAAGGGUCAGAGGUGGCAGAGCCAAUGUUUUUGGAUGGCAUCCAAAAGGUUGACUGGACCUUCACCCUCCUUUGCUGCCCUUCAGCAGAGUGCAUCUGCCACUCCCUCCACACAGUGCCAUCAUGUCAAAGCAAGACUGCUUCAAAUAAACACUCAUUAGUGGUUGAUUUCUUCCAAGUUUCAGUUGGACUCACUGAUUGCGCUUACAUUCCAUUUCCAAUUAUCUGUAAAUAAAGCAUAACAGCUACACAGGCAACCAGGGAAGGAGUGGAAGGGGGAAGAGGAACAAAGAAUAGUCAAGGGAGCUCUUUGGAUUCAAUUAAAAUAAGUUGAUCCUUAAUUCACAUAACACCGAAUCAGUUUGGGGUUUAGGGUUUUUUUGUGCGUGUGUUUUAAAUUGGAAAAUUUUCUCCUAUGGGCACUUUAUUUGCAGUUCAGCUUUGAGGCAUAGUGCAUUUCACAUUGAUUUGUUCAGAGGUUUUACAUUUGUCACCUAAUUAGCUGUUGCUUAUUAAAAAUAUAUUUACCUAGCUUGAAACUUUGAUUCCCCAUGUGGCCCUGGGGCAAGCUAUUUCACUGUCCUGCCUCAGUUUCCCAGUUAAAAAAGGAGAUUAAUAAUAAUAAAGCUUGCCUGGCUCCCAGGAGUUUUGA